UGGUCAAGUUAUUAAGGGUGCAGGGCGGAUGCCUUGGCACUAGGAGCCGAUGAAGGACGUGAUAAGCUGCGAUAAGCUUCGGGGAGUUGCACGUAAACUUUGAUCCGAAGAUUUCCGAAUGAGGAAACUCACUUAGAGUAAUGUCUAAGUAUCAUUAAGUGAAUACAUAGCUUAAUGAGGGGAACUCAGGGAACUGAAACAUCUAAGUACCUGAAGGAAGAGAAAGAAAUUCGAUUCCGUAAGUAGCGGCGAGCGAACGCGGAUUAGCCCAAACCAAUAAAGUUUUCUUUAUUGGGGUUGAGGACAUACCACAUAUAAGAGGUCAUUAUAGACGAAGAAGUUUGGAAAAACUCAUCAUAGAAGGUAAUAAUCCUGUAGUCAAAAUAAUAAUUCUUUAGGUAUGAUCCAGAGUACCACGGGACACGUGAAACCCUGUGGGAAGCAGGAGGGACCACCCUCCAAGGCUAAAUACUACCUAGUGACCGAUAGCGUAUAGUACCGUGAGGGAAAGGUGAAAAGAACCCCGGGAGGGGAGUGAAAUAGAACCUGAAACCCUGCACUUACAAGCUGUGGAAGCACAUUUCUUGUGUGACCGCGUACUUUUUGUAGAACGGGCCAACGAGUUACGUUAAGUAGCAAGGUUAAGCACUUAAGGUGCGGAGCCGUAGCGAAAGCGAGUUUUAACUGAGCGUUCAGUUACUUGACGUAGACCCGAAACCGGGCGACCUACCCAUGAGCAGGAUGAAGCGAAAGUAAAAUUUCGUGGAGGUCCGAACCCACGAGCGUUGAAAAGCUCGGGGAUGACUUGUGGGUAGCGGUGAAAUUCCAAUCGAGCCCGGAGAUAGCUGGUUCUCCCCGAAAUAGCUUUAGGGCUAGCCUCAAGGUGAGAGAUACGGAGGUAGAGCACUGAAUGUCCUAGGGGGUAUUGCACCUACCGAAGACUAUCAAACUCCGAAUGCCGUCAUCUUAUACUUGGGAGUCAGACUGUGGGUGAUAAGAUUCAUAGUCGAAAGGGCAACAGCCCAGAUCGUCAGCUAAGGUCCCUAAAUGUAAGUUAAGUGGUAAAGGAUGUGGGAUUGCACAGACAACCAGGAUGUUGGCUUAGAAGCAGCCACUCAUUCAAAGAGUGCGUAAUAGCUCACUGGUCGAGUGAUCCUGCGCCGAAGAUUUCCGGGGCUAAAACUUACUACCGAAGCUACGGCAUCAGUAAUGAUGGGUAGGGGAGCUUCCCAUACGGGUUGAAGCAUGACCGUAAGGACAUGUGGACAGUAUGGGAGUGAGAAUGUUGGCAUGAGUAGCGAGAUGUGGGUGAGAAUCCCACAGGCCGUAAACCCAAGGUUUCCAGGGGAAGGUUCGUCCGCCCUGGGUUAGUCGGGACCUAAGCUGAGGCCGAAAGGCGUAGGUGAUGGACAACAGGUUGAUAUUCCUGUACUACCGAUAACCGUUUGAGAGAAGGGAUGACACAGUAGGAUAAGCUAAGCACACUGUUGGUUAUGUGUGCCCAAGCAUUGAGGCAGUCAAAGUAGGCAAAUCCGCUUUGAUAAUGCUGGGAUGUGAUGGGGAGCGAAAUUUAGUAGCGAAGUAGCUGAUUUCACACUGUCAAGAAAAGUCUCUAUCGAGGUUAAAGGUACCCGUACCGCAAACCGACACAGGUGGGUGAGGAGAGUAUCCUAAGGCCAGCGAGAGAACUGUUGUUAAGGAACUCGGCAAAAUGACCCCGUAACUUAGGGAUAAGGGGUGCCACCAUCAGGUGGCCGCAGAGAAUAGGCCCAAGCGACUGUUUACCAAAAACAUAGGUUUCUGCUAAGUCGCAAGACGAUGUAUAGGAGCUGACGCCUGCCCGGUGCUGGAAGGUUAAGGGGAUCUGUUAGAGCAAUCGAAGCAGUGAACUUAAGCCCCAGUAAACGGCGGCCGUAACUAUAACGGUCCUAAGGUAGCGAAAUUCCUUGUCGGGUAAGUUCCGACCCGCACGAAAGGCGUAACGAUUUGGGCACUGUCUCAACAACAGACUCGGUGAAAUUGUAAUUCCGGUGAAGAUGCCGGAUACCUGCGACAGGACGGAAAGACCCCAUGGAGCUUUACUGUAGCUUGACAUUGGGUCUUGGUACUACAUGUACAGGAUAGGUGGGAGGCUUUGAAACCAGGACGCCAGUUUUGGCGGAGCCAUCCUUGGGAUACCACCCUUGUAGUACUGGGACUCUAACCAUAGGCCAUGAAUCUGGUCUUGGGACACUGUCAGGUGGGCAGUUUGACUGGGGCGGUCGCCUCCCAAAAGGUAACGGAGGCGCUCAAAGGUUCUCUCAGUACGGUCGGAAAUCGUACGUAGAGUGUAAAGGCAAAAGAGAGCUUGAUUGCAAGACAUACAGGUCGAGCAAGGAUGAAAAUCGGACUUAGUGAUCCGGUGGUUCUGCGUGGAAGGGCCAUCGCUCAACGGAUAAAAGCUACCCUGGGGAUAACAGGCUUAUCUCCCCCAAGAGUCCACAUCGACGGGGAGGUUUGGCACCUCGAUGUCGGCUCAUCACAUCCUGGGGCUGUAGUAGGUCCCAAGGGUUGGGCUGUUCGCCCAUUAAAGUGGUACGCGAGCUGGGUUCAGAACGUCGUGAGACAGUUCGGUCCCUAUCCGUCGCAGGCGUAGGAAAUUUGAGAAGACCUGUCCUUAGUACGAGAGGACCGGGAUGGACGUACCUCUGGUGUACCAGUUGUCCUGCCAAGGGCAUGGCUGGGUAGCUAUGUACGGAAUGGAUAAGCGCUGAAAGCAUCUAAGCGCGAAGCCAACUUCAAGAUAAGAUUUCCCACCGCAAGGGUAAGACCCCAGAAAGACUAUCUGGUUGAUAGGUCGAAGGUGUAAGUGCAGCAAUGUAUUUAGCUUAUCGAUACUAAUAGGUCGAGGACUUGACCAA
rnacentral:rRNA from 2 species